rnacentral:misc_RNA from 1 species
GAUGAAGAACGCAGCGAAAUGCGAUAAGUAAUGUGAAUUGCAGAAUUCAGUGAAUCAUCGAAUCUUUGAACGCACAUUGCGCCCCCUGGUAUUCCGGGGGGCAUGCCUGUUCGAGCGUCAUUUCACCACUCGAGCCUCGCUUGGUAUUGGGCAACGCGGUCCGCCGCGUGCCUCAAAUCGACCGGCUGGGUCUUCUGUCCCCUAAGCGUUGUGGAAACUAUUCGCUAAAGGGUGUUCGGGAGGCUACGCCGUAAAACAACCCCAUUUCUAAGGUUGACCUCGGAUCAGGUAGGGAUACCCGCUGAACUUAAGCAUAUCAAUAAGCGGAGGA